rnacentral:lncRNA from 1 species
GGGUGGAAUAUUUCAAAAAAAAAUUAUCCUAUGAUAUUUUAGAUCUAAUAUCUAUUAGAUCUAAUUCCUAUUAUCUGAUAUUAAAUCUAAAAUUAAAUCUAAAAAUAUGAGGAAUAGAGAAAUACCUCUAGAGUAACUAGAUUACCCUAUAGAUGAUCGCAGCAAUGCCCGAGGUUCUAAAAUAGCCAUGCAGUCAUCUGGCCUCUACCGAUAUCCACUCAAGUAGGAUCUAGAUCAUCUUCUCCUUGCAAAUCU